CUCCUUUGUGGCGCACAGGCCAACUCUCCCACACUUGCACGCUUGCACACUUGUACGCUUCUCCGUCUGCUUCUGGGUGCAGUCAAUAUUGAUACGAUUAUACUGUGACAAAUGCAACGCACCACGGACAGAAUACGUGUGGAACAUGAACUUCUUGGGCGAAGCAAGGCCCGGUUCAAGAGAUGGACCAAGACUUUACCUGACCCCCACUCUCGCCCCCUCAUCCACGGCGUGCUCCGUAGUAUACAAAUUAUGAUAAAGGCUGUGAGUCAAACUCUCAGCUUGUUUUUUUUUCUUUCAAACGUAUCCAUUCAUCCUGUUCUUAUACCAGUUGUCCUGUUCAGAGUCACAGUUCAGGCUGUACCCUGCCUCCUGCCCGUUGACACUUGGGAUAGGCUCCAGCACUACAGCAAUCCUUGUUCCUGCAUGCAAGGUGUACUUCCUUGUCAGCACUGUGAAUUUGACCAAUGUGUCUACAGCAGUGAUUCCCAACCAGUGUGGCUUGAGCGAUCUUCAGGUGUUCAGUGGGAAAUCAUCACAUUUUACCUAACUGCUCG